rnacentral:lncRNA from 1 species
AGAAAAGACGAGGACAAGAAGGGCGAUGCACACAGAGCACUGGCUUACAACACUUUAUUCGUAGAAAGGGAAGGAUGACCAUUCAUACACACUUCGCU